CUUCAACUCUUUGUAGCUGGUGUUGGAAAUCAGCUCCAGGUGGCGGCCCUUCUUACGCGCCUGCCGCAAGGACCUCUUGACCUUCUUCACUCGCUCCCGGAGCUGCCGGUUGCGCUUCUCCAGGGUGGCCACUUUCUGCUGCAGUUUCUUGACGUGGUCCUCCUCCUCAAACAAGGCCUUCUGCACCGAGGAGCACAUGAGCUGGAGGCAGAGACAGCGUGCAAGGAGAGGAGGGCUGCACUUAGCCUCCAGAGUUGUCUCUUCAACAAGACAGGUCUGAUCAUCUCAGUAACCUUCUUCUGGGACUCCUGUUAGACGUGUAUAUUUAAUACCAUUGGCUAAGUCGUAACAAUCAUCCAAGUCAACCGACCUCCCAGCCUGCCCACAUUGCCUCCCUGUAGGAAGUGAUUUUGCACACAGAAGCCCCUGGUGGGGUAGGGUGGAGUGUGAAGUAUCUGUUCUUGGACCACAGUUCCAUCCCUGGAGCAGCAAUUGUGAAGCAUCGUUCUCCUGUUCCAGCAUCUCUCCAAAGACGCUCAGGUCUCCGUCACAGGAUCACCAUUGAAAAAGGUGUCUGUCCCUCUGACACAUACCCAGGGGAGGAAAGAGCAAGCUUUGGAGGCACCUGGUUGACUUCACCUGGAGAAACAUAAAAGUCUGCUAAAGGUUGCUAGAAUUUUUUCUGAUUUAAAACAAAAUGAAACAAAGAAAGCCGACGACAUAGUUUGGAUCUGUGUUCCUGCCGCAGUCUCACGUGGAACUGCAGUCCCCAGUUUUGGAGAUCUUGUUGGGUCUGUAGUUUAUGCCUGGAAGUGCUGCAGCCUUUUUGCAUCCAUGAAGGAAUCUAGCCUGAGAACAACAGUACCACGAAGAGAGAAUGCCGAGCCAAAAGAAUCACCAAGAGGGGACCCAGAUCCCUGAUUAACCCGUGCCUGGAGCUACCACUACCUUUGCUUUCUUGCCUCAUGUGAUAAUACAUUUCCUCACUGUUUGAAAUUCAUUGAGUCCAGUUUUCUCUUACUUGUAGCCAAAGGCAUCCUUAACAAUGUAAUUGACUCCACUUUGCAGAUGAACAAAGAGACAAAGAGGGCAAGUGACACCUACAGUCACACCACUGGUAAAUGUAUUAAGAACAUGCAGGCAUUAGGGAGUAAAGUUUAUACAUAAUUUAAAGUAGUAUGUAGGAGUUUAGGACAGGCCACCCCAAAAUAUGCUGCUUUGGCAUAAAGACUACUUUGAGCUGGAGGAACUUGAAAAACAGUACAUGCAGACAGUGGCUUUCUCUGAAUUCCCUUUAUCUGCCUAAAGACAAAACCUCCAAAAGGAGCUCAGUUGUCGUCAGUACCCCCACCCCUGGGAGUUUCAUCAACCAGGGAAAAUUAACUCUUAUCACAGGAGAGGAGAAUGGAGGUGACAUCACACCCAAGGUUUGUCACAAGCUAUCACUUAUUCUGAGGGUCUAUUCAUCUUUCCCCAAAAUCAUUUUCUCUCUCCUAAAUUGCCUACAUCCCCCCUCCCUGCUUUCCCCAAAAAGAGGGUAUAUAACCUUCUAAAUCUCACUGUUUUAAGGGGUAUGACUUUUUUUCCUAUGAUGUCCCUGUGCACUUAAUAAACUUGUGUAUCUUUUAUCCUGUUAA
rnacentral:lncRNA from 1 species